rnacentral:rRNA from 1 species
UACAGAGGGUGCGAGCGUUGUUCGGAAUUAUUGGGCGUAAAGGGCGCGUAGGCGGUGCGGUAAGUCACUUGUGAAAUCUCCUGGCUCAACUGGGAGCUUGCAGGCGAAACUGCCGUGCUGGAGUGUGGGAGAGGUGCGUGGAAUUCCCGGUGUAGCGGUGAAAUGCGUAGAUAUCUGAAGGAACAUCAGUGGCGAAAGCGACUUCCUGGACCAAUACUGACGCUCAUGUGCGAAAGCGUGGGGAGCAAACAGG